rnacentral:rRNA from 1 species
AGUGAACGCUGGCGGUAUGCCUAACACAUGCAAGUCGAACGGCAGCACAGUAAGAGCUUGCUCUUACGGGUGGCGAGUGGCGGACGGGUGAGGAAUACAUCGGAAUCUACUUUUUCGGGGGGGAUAACGUAGGGAAACUGACGCUAAUACCGCAUACGAUCUACGGGUGAAAGCAGGGGAUCUUCGGACCUUGCGCGAUUGAAUUAGCCGAUGUCGGAUUAGCUAGUUGGCGGGGUAAAGGCCCACCAAGGCGACGAUCCGCAGCUGGUCUGAGAGGAUGAUCAGCCACACUGGAACUGAGACACGGUCCAGACUCCUACGGGAGGCAGCAGUGGGGAAUAUUGGACAAUGGGCGCAAGCCUGAUCCAGCAAUACCGCGUGGGUGAAGAAGGCCUUCGGGUUGUAAAGCCCUUUUGUUGGGAAAGAAAAGCAGCAGGUUAAUACCCCGCUGUUCUGACGGUACCCAAAGAAUAAGCACCGGCUAACUUCGUG